GACGAACGCUGGCGGCGUGCUUAACACAUGCAAGUCGAACGGAAAGGCCCUGCUCUUGUGGGGUGCUCGAGUGGCGCACGGGUGUGUAACACGUGAGUAACCUGCCCUUGACUUUGGGAUAAAUUCAGGAAACUGGGGCUCAUACCGGAUAGGAGAUCCUGAUGCAUGGUGGGGGUUGGAAAGAUCCGGCGGUUGGGGAUAGACUCGCGGGUUAUCAGCCUGUUAGUGAGGUAGUGGAAUACAAGGCGUUCGACUGAUAGCCGACAUGGGAGGGCGAACGGCCACAAGGGGACUAAGAUACGGCGCAGACUCGAACGGUAGGCAACAGUGGAGAAUAUGACGGAAUAGGCGGAAGCCAGAUAUGGCAAUGCCGCGUGCGUAAUGACCGCCUACGGGUGGUAAACCGCUGUCGCCGUUAACGAAGCGGGAGUGACGGUAAUGAAUAAGAAAGCACCGGCUAACUACGUG
rnacentral:rRNA from 1 species